rnacentral:misc_RNA from 1 species
UGAUUAAACUAAAAAACUAAAAAAGAGUUGGAUAGACGAAGUAAUAAAUAAUUUAAAAAUACCAAAGACGAAUCUGUUGAGACCCGUCACAUGAUCCAAGGCCCGGAUAUCGCCGAAGCUUAUUGUUGGAGCCAUUGCCGGAGUUGUUGGAAGCUGCUGCUUUCGGCGGCUGCUUGUUGGUGGUGGCUCGUUGUCGGCUGUUGCUGGUUGAUGCAGUUGAAUGGGAGAGAGGAGAG